GUAUGAAUAUGUGAUUUUUAUUUAAUUGCUUAUGAUUGAUUACAUUCAUACUUUGAAUUGUUAAUUACCGAGAUAAAAACUAUCUAAUUGUCUUAAUGCCUGAUCACCAUUAGGAUCUUUAAAAAAAUAAUUUGAUGCAAUUUUGGUCGGAAGGUUCCCUGAAAUUGACGCUGGCUUCUUGUGAUUAAUAAUUGUAAUUUCACUUAGGAUGAACACCACGUCUUAAGAGUUGCAUGGUUUUUCAAAGGGUUUUCAUAAAGCAUAAUGAGUCUUUCAUGUUCAGAUUUGAUCCAAACAUCCAAACGGGUUGCAAGUUUGAUAUACGUUCUAUAUUGGAGGUUCCAAGUAGAAUAUAAAUUAGGAAAACCUAACCUUCAAAGUGGCAUGUGUAGAUCAUAAGUAAUUGGUAAAAGUUCAUAGGAUUGCUAGGUGAUAGUGGAACCCUAGUGCUUUCUUAAUUUGAUUUCUCCCAAAACUGUUUUCUUUUCCCUGUAGUUUUAAUAUUGCAGAGUGUCUUAUUUUUAUUAAUUAAAUUCAUUUUUAAUUUAAGUAGGUUAUAAAAUCAAUCAUCUCAAUUUCUACUUUACAAUAAUUAAUUGGAAUUUGGUUUGUUUCGAAUUAUUUAAUAAUCCCUGUGGAGAACGACCUUGCGAGAUCCGUUUAUACUACAACAACCUUGUGAUUCUUGCAAGUAUAAUAGGAGUUUUUUAGCCAGUUCACAUGUGUAGUAAAAUCCCUAUCAAUCGAUUUCAGUCGGGCUGUUAACAUAAAAA
rnacentral:lncRNA from 1 species